AUUGAACGCUGGCGGCAGGCCUAACACAUGCAAGUCGAACGAGUGGCGGACGGGUGAGUAAUGUCUGGGAAUCUGCCUUAUGGAGGGGGAUAACGACUGGAAACUGUAGCUAAUACCGCGUACCAUAGGAUGAGCCCAAGUGGGAUUAGGUAGUUGGUGGGGUAACGGCUCACCAAGGCGACGAUCUCUAGCUGGUCUGAGAGGAUGACCAGCCACACUGGGACUGAGACACGGCCCAGACUCCUACGGGAGGCAGCAGUGGGGAAUAUUGCACAAUGGGGGCAAGCCUGAUGCAGCCAUGCCGCGUGUAUGAAGAAGGCCUUCGGGUUGUAAAGUACUUUCGGUGGCGAGGCGUGAACCGCAGAAGAAGCACCGGCUAACUCCGUGCCAGCAGCCGCGGUAAUUC
rnacentral:rRNA from 1 species